AUUGAGAGUUUGAUCCUGGCUCAGGAUGAACGCUGGCGGCGUGGAUAAGGCAUGCAAGUCGAGCGGACCAGUGUUUCACACUGGGAAUUUCAAGAAACAAGAAACAAUGACCAGACAAUAUUCAAAAAUUAAUUUUCAAUAACCAAACACGUUUUGGAAUUUGAGAUUUGUGAUUUGAAAUUUGUUUGUACCUUGUAUCUUGGUGUUUGGAGAUUCCAGCGUGGAACGCUGGUUAGCGGCGAACGAGUCAGUAAUACCUUGGUACCUACCCCCGAGACGGGAAUAACCUGCCGAAAGGCAGACUAAUACCCGAUAGUUCUCGAAAGAGUAAAGCAGCAAUGCGCUUGGGGAGGGGCCUCGGCCUGAUCAGCUAGUUGGGCAGCAGUCGAGAAUAUUCGACAAUGGGCGAAAGCCUGAUCGAGCGACGCCGCGUGGAGGAAGAAGCCCUUCGGGGUGUAAACUCCUUUUCCCCGGGAAGAACUUCGGUGACUGUACCGGGGGAAUAAGAGGUUGCUAACUCUGUGCCAGCAGCCGCGGUAAUACAGAGACCUCAAGCGUUAUCCGGAUUUAUUGGGCGUAAAGCGUCUGCAGACGGUAAAGUAAGUUCGGGGUUAAAGACCCAGGCUCAACCUGGGGAAAGCGUCGAAAACUACUUUGCUUAGAGGACAUGAGAGGCCAAUAGAACUUAUGGUGUAGGGGUGAAAUCCGUUGAUACCAUAGGGAAUACCAAGGGCGAAGGCAUUUGGCUGGUGUGUUCCUGACGUUCAGAGACGAAAGCGUGGGUCGCGAAUGGGAUUAGAUACCCCAGUAGUCCACGCCCUAAACUAUGGAUGCUAGCUGUGGGGAGUAUCGACCCUCUCCGCGGCGAAGCUAACGCAUUAAGCAUCCCGCCUGGGAAGUACGGCCGCAAGGCUAAAACUUAAAGGAAUAGACGGGGACUUGCACAAGCGGUGGAGCAUGUGGUUCAAUUCGACAAUAACCGAAGAACCUUACCAAGGCUUGAAAUUCUGCUGAAAUCUUUCCGAAAGGUUAGACCUCUCACAAGGACAGUAGAACAGGCGCUGCAUGGUUGUCGUCAGCUCGUGUCGUGAGAUGUUCCGUUCAGUCGGGUAACGAGCGCAACCCCUGUCGUGUGUUAUAUUUGUCACAGAGAUUAGUGACAAGGACUAAGUCGUAACAAGGCAGCCGUAGCGGAAGCUGUGGCUGGAUCACCUCCUU
rnacentral:rRNA from 1 species